rnacentral:rRNA from 1 species
AUGAAAGAGUGGAUGAAAUAUAAAUUGUCUCAAGAUGAUAAAUUGAAUUUAAAUUAAAAGUAAAAAUGCUUUUAUAUGAUUAUUAGACGAGAAGACCCUAUAGAAUUUAAUAAAAUUUAUUUUUUAAGUAUAUUAUGUUAUAGUUAUUUAUUAAGUAAUUAUAUUUUAUUGGGAGGAUAUUUAAAUUUAAUUAACUUUAAUUUAAUUAAACAUAGAUUAAUGAAUUUAUUGAUUAUUAU